rnacentral:rRNA from 1 species
AGAGUUUGAUCCUGGCUCAGGNUUAACGCUGGCGGCGUGCCUAACACAUGCAAGUCGAACGAGGUAGCAAUGCCUACCUGGCAGACGGGUGAGUAACGCGUGGGCAACCUACCGUUGAGCGGGGGAUAACUAGGCGAAAGGUUAGCUAAUACCGCAUACGUCUAGCACGGCAUCCCGCAAAGAUAAAAGCCGCAAGGCACUCGACGACGGGACCGCGUCCCAUUAGUUAGUUGGUGGGGUAAUGGCCUACCAAGACUCCAAUGGGUAGCUGGCUUGAGAGAGCGACCAGCCCCACUGGGACUGAAAAACGGCCCAAACUCCUACGGGAGGCAGCAGGGAGGAAUUUUCCGCAAGGGGCGAAAGCCUGACGGAGCGACCCCGCGGGUGGGAAGAAGGCCUUCGGGUCGUAAACCACUGCCGAAGGGGAAGAUAUUGACGGUACCCUUGGAGGAAGCCCCGGUUAACUACGUGCCAGCAGCCGCGGUAAGACGUAGGGGGCAAGCGUUAUUCGAAAUUAUUGGGCGUAAAGCGCUCGUAGGCGGGACAGGAAGUCCGUGAAGAAAGACCUGGGCUUAACUCAAGGAACGGCACAGAUACUCUUGUUCUUGANGUAUUCAGAGGAUGAUGAAAUUCCCGGGGUAGCGGUGAAAUGCGUAAAUAUCGAGAGGAACACCGNUGGGGAAAGCGAUCAUCUGAGGAUGUUCUGACGCUGAAGAGCGAAAGCUAGGGGAGCAAACGGGAUUAGAUACCCCCGGUAGUCACUAGCCGAAAAACGAUGGAUACUANGGUGUAUGCUGGUUAUCGANCUCCCUAUGCUGCCNGCUAGAUNAACACAAUAAGUAUCCCCG